CUGGUUGUUCUUAUUUUGGUUGAUUUAUUGGGCAGUGACACAAGAGCCAGUUGGUGAAUCUGAGGAAUGGGAUCCAUUUAAAAUACUAGGAAUUGACAGGGGAGCUACUGUGUCUCAGAUCAAGAAGCAGUACAGGCUAUUAAGUAUGAUCCAUCAUCCUGAUAAAGGAGGGGACCCUGAGGUAUUCACUAAAAUAGCUAAAGCUUAUGAAGCUUUGACUCAAGAGGAGACUAGGGAGAACUGGGAGAAGUAUUGUAACCCUGAUGGACCUAGAGCUGCUUCAUUUGGUAUAGCACUGCUCUCUUGGAUUGUUGACAAGAAUAACUCGUUAUGGUUCUAGGUGCGUAUGUGUUGGUAUUUAAUUAUCGGAC